rnacentral:lncRNA from 1 species
GAAGACCUUCUUCACCAAAUAAAUCAACAAAAAGAGAAAUGGGAAGAAGAAAAGACUUGGAUUCUAGAAAAUUUGUCUAAAAACCUAGAUCAUCUUUACACCCAGCACACCUUGACUUUGCAGGAACUUCAAAACAUCAGUCUACAUGUGGACAAAGUGCAUGACCUUGUGAAUUUCCAGAUAAAACUUUUUCAGAAAAAAUCUGAAAAGACAGAAACAGAAAAGGCAGAUGUGUCAGUGGCUUUAGAAUUAAAGGUAGAACACGCAGCUGAUGAAGAGGUGAAACCUGAAUGCUUAGUGGAAAAAGGAUAUCUUUGGCAAGCACAGGCCAUGCUGCAAAAGAUACAAGAAUCUUUGGAUAAACGAGAGAAAGAAAUCACCGAGCUUCUACAAAGUGAGAGAAGAUAUAACAAAGCAAUGAAACCUCAAAUCACAGUGCUAAUAUUCUUGAAAACUCUUGUCCAGAGGGUAAGUAGUCAGUCAUCACGAAGAGGGAAAAUGAUUUGCCGGGUUUUCUAAAAGUCU